rnacentral:misc_RNA from 1 species
GAUGAAGAACGUAGCGAAGUGCGAUAAGUAAUGUGAAUUGCAGAAUUCCGUGAAUCAUCGAAUCUUUGAACGCAAAUUGCACUUUCUGGUAUUCCGGAGAGUAUGCCUGUUUGAGGGUCAGUGUAAUAAAUAAAUCGUGGUUGUUACCACCUUUCGUGGUGACGCUUCGGAAUUGAGUCCUCUUACCCUUCGGGUUAAGUGACUUAAAAUUUUUUCAUACGAUUUCGAAACGUAUUUAAUGUAUUAUGUACGUUCACGAAUAUCGAAUGUUUAUUAGGUGCGGUCAUUUUUCAUGAAUUCGAGUCUAUAAUUUUUUUUUUUUGACCUCAAAUCAGGUAAGAAUACCCGCUGAACUUAAGCAUAUCAAUAAGCGGAGGA